AAUUCAAUGAUCAAAGCACAACUUUUCAACAUUCAAAACAGAAUAAACUUCCCAGCAAAAGCAGUACCUUGCUGACAUUUUUAACCUUAGUAUUCCUCUUCCUCUUCACUCUCUCUUUCAACAGAAUCCACAUCAACCUCUUCAGAAUCCUUUGUCAAUGGCAGCCAUGUCUUCAUGAGCCUCAAAAAACUCCUUCCUCCAUGCUCUCAACCACAUACCAAUGAACAAAGGCACAUUUAGCAUACAUCAGGCCAAAUCUGUGGUCCAGGUGAGCCCAGGCCUCAGGAUUGGCUAUGGCUUUGCCCAGCAUGCACACAGCUCACUCUCCAGACCUUUGGUCAGGUCUCUAAGUACCACAGUGGGAGGCUGUCAUUUAAUGCUGACUUUGAAGCCAGUGGAGCACAAGCCUACAAACUGGAUGGUAUGCAUGGUCUUGAUGGUGACAGUGGCAGCACUGACAUCUCUGGGAACCACACUGCCAUGGUACAACAGGCAGCAAGCCAUGUAUUUACCAUGGCAAGAGUCAAAUUUUGCCAUCUGGUUGGCUGAGUCAAAGCAUGUACUGGUAGGCUUUUCAUGGUACAGAAAACUGUUCAUGGUAGGCUUUCUCAGCAGAGAUGACAGGAGCAUAUAUGGCCAGAGGGAAUGGAU
rnacentral:lncRNA from 1 species